GCCAAGUUGGUCCAGACACGCGCAUUGUUGCGUAACUGUUUCAAAGGUUGCGUACACCACUUUUCGGAACACUAUGUUAUUAUCAGGUUAUUAUACGUGAGAAAAGAGACCGGCUCGGAUAAUUUCAGCUGGGGUUCAAGGAUCGAGGUACCCGCCCCCCAGUCUGUGCAGGGUUCACACAGACACACAGACAGACAGUGUGUGAAGGUGAUGCACAGUAUGUGGCUAUAGCAGCAACAGGAUGAGCGGUGGAGCCCUGGGUAUCGAGAUUGUGCUGGUUUUCUUCCUGCCACUAUUUCUCCUGCAUCGCUAUGGACACUUCCGCAAGCAACACCCACUGGUGCUGUUCGGGACCCUCCUGUCCUGGUAUCUCUGCUUCCUCAUCGUCUUCAUCCUUCCCCUGGAUGUCAGCACGACCAUAUAUAACCAGUGUAAGAUUGACAACGAGAAACCCAGGGAUCUGACCAGUUCAGACCCCUUUAAUCAGACAUCCAACUCCUCUGUCUUCCCUACAAGCACACCUAAAGUAUGUCACAAGCCAUGGAGCUAUAUUCCUGAUGGAAUUCUGCCAGUGUUCUGGCGUGUGGUCUACUGGACCUCUCAGUGUCUGACCUGGCUGUUGCUCCCCUUCAUGCAGUCCUAUGCACGCUCUGGGGGCUUUUCUAUCCUCGGUAAGAUUAAGACGGCCCUUAUCGAGAACGCCAUCUACUAUGGCACCUACCUGAUCAUCUUUUGCUCCUUGCUUAUCUACGUGGCUGUCCAUCCCCAGUGGCAGCUAACCUGGCAGGGCCUGCAAACCAUUAGCAUCGCAGCAGCAAACACCUGGGGGCUUUUCCUCUUGGUGCUGUUGCUAGGUUACGGCCUGGUGGAGAUCCCGUGCUUGUACUGGAACUCCUCUCGCCACGGUUACCUGUUGGCCAAGACCUACUUCAAGGUGGCCAAGCUGGCGACGGAAAAGUCAGACGCUGAGGAAAACAUGGAUGACGCCAUGGAGGAGGUGGCAAAUGUCAACGAAUCAGUUGGGUACAGUCACCCCCUAAGGAACAACAUUGACACUAUUUUGAGAAAGUGUCCCAUGGAAAUCCAGGAGAAAAUGGUGAGGCUGAACGCGGAGGACAGUGAGGAUGAAAGCACACAGAGGACCUAUCCUUCCAAAAGGAGCCUAGUGAAGCUUCAUAAGCAAGUGAUCUAUGCUGGCCAGAGACACAGUCAAACACAGGUCCAGUGGGCGAUCCUUCUGGAAGAGGCCUUCCAUUUAGAGGACGUGUGUAAGAAUGAGACCAGUGCCUCCCAUCAGUUUGUCCAUAGUUUCCUCUCCUCCCAGCCACCCGGCUGGCUCGGCAAAUACCUGUACACUCCCACCAUAGAGUGGUACUGGGAGUGUGUGCUGCGACAGUGGUGCUACCGGCUGCUGGCACUACUGCUGUCUCUACUCUCUGUGGCUGUGGUGUGGUCUGAAUGCACAUUCUUCAGCACACAUCCUGUCCUCUCUCUCUUCGCCAUCUUCAUCCAGUUAGCAGAGAGGGACUACAGCUACUUGUACAUAGAGAUGGCGUGCUUCGUCACUAUUUUGUUCCUGUGUGUUUGUGUCUACUCCACCGUGUUCCGCAUCCGAGUCUUCAACUACUACUACCUGGUACCUCACCAUCAGACAGACGCCUACAGCCUACUGUUCAGCGGAAUGUUGUUCUGUCGACUGACUCCUCCGCUGUGUCUCAACUUCCUGGGUCUCAUCCACAUGGACGCCUCCAUUUCUCACCAGCAGAGAAUAGAGACAGCAUACACCACAAUCAUGGGCUCUAUGCGUCUCCUCUCCUUCAUAGCAGAUGGUUUCUACAUCUAUUACCCCAUGCUCAUAGUCCUCCUCUGCAUCGCCACCUACUGCAGCCUGGGUACCCGCUGUCUCAACCUCCUGGGGUUCCCACAGUAUAUUAGUCAGAGCGAUGACUUGACCUCUGAGCUGGUGGAAGAGGGCAGAGAGCUUAUCAGAAGAGAAAGAAGAAACCGACAGAGAAGCGAGGAUGGGGAGAGUCGGAAACGAGUGAGCACGGUCCUUUCUUAUUUUGAGUCUUCUCUGAACACUGGAGAAGACCCCAUAUCAAUGUUCACACCACCGCAUUACCAAACUAUGAACCACCUGCCAGCUCAUUGGGUUCACUGUCUGUGUAAAAUGCUCCGGCAUGAAGUUUCCCUUAGGGAUGGAGAGAGCGCUAUGGAGAACAGCGAAAUGUGAGGAGGAACAGAAAUGGUUAUUCCGAGUUAAAGGACAACGACUCUCCCUCAGACAGCAGUGACACUGCCCAGUUGACCUGGAGAGAGAGCGGGGAUCACAAUGGGCUACUUCAGGACGUGGACACCACAAGCCUAGAUCCUAGUGAUUCUCCAACCCAGAGGUAUGCAGGAGGACGUUACCUCUCCAUGGCGUCCUCUCGGACACACAUUUUCAACGAUGUCUGAGAGGAGCCCCUGCUCAGAGGCUGUGGGACUGAACUAACCUUUCCUCAUUGCCCACACUAGAGUUGCUAGAGUUCCAUGGAUAUUGUCUUCUUCUCUUUUGUCCUUUAGCCUGUUUGUCUGGAGAGAGAUAUUUAUUUAAUGCACAUUGGGAUCAUAAUGAAUACGAUAACAUGGACCAGGGGGUCCUGAUCCGAGAUCAGGACUGGCUUCAGUAGUCCCCCAAGAACAAAACAUUGUCUGACCUCAGGAACAAGGGAUGCAUUGAUUUCCGUUUUUAGAACCCAUUCAUUCUGUAACAACUACUCAGUGAUUUUAUCUUUAUUUAACUAGGCAAGUCAGUUAAGAACAAAUUCUUAUUUUCAAUGACAGCCUAGUGGGUUAACUGCCUUGUUCAGGGGCAGAACAACAGAUUUGUACCGUUUCACCUUUUCACCUUUCAAACUAUUUUGCCAAAUAUCAAUUAAAUAAAAGGUAUGAAUUUGUAAAUUAACUUUGAUCUACAUUAUUAUACCUGUUAAUGAGAGCAUUAUUAUUGAUGGUUUAUGGUGAUGAAGGGAUGAUUUGACCUCCUCAUACCUGCUAAUGGGAGACUUUAGGCCUAGUGGGUCAUACAGUAUGUGUGAAGGCUACUAUGGUUCUAUGACUGCAUUCCAAUGGGCUCAGGUCAUAAGUAGUGCACUAUAAAGGGAAUAGGGUGCCAUUUGGCACACAGCCUAUAUGUGUGGUCCCCGUACGGGGGUGGGUCCCAAAGACCUUCCCCAUUAUUGAUUAAGGGGACCUUAAGAUCUAUAUGUUUUGCUGCAGGCCUUAUAGUAAGAUACUGUUGCUAUGUGUCUAAAAACUCUGCCACUAUACGUUGAACAAGCAUCUAUAUUAGUCUUUGUGGUUAAGCCCUGGCUGCUGUGAGAGUGAGCUGCAGGCUGGGCCUGAGUCAGACUGAAACUAGAUCAAGAGAAGUAACUGCUGUCUGGUUUUGACAUGUUGAUCUUGUGUGACAGUAGACAAUGCUAAUAAAUUCAGAGAAGCUACUGUACUAGGCUGCCUUAUAAGGUAGCCUCAGCUUAUUGAUACACACAUACAUUGACGUAGGUGAUCAUACCACUAGGGAGGGAUCACAUGUAUGAAAUCAGCUGUGCCCUUAGGUGGGGUGCAGAAUUUACGGGGAAACAUGCGUGCCAUGUUCCUGUUGUCAACUUCUGUCUGCAAUUGCAUUAAUAAAGGUUUUUGAUUGAUUUACUUAAA